UACGAGAGGCCCAAACGUUAUUCGGAAUUACUGGGCUUAAAGAGUUCGUAGGCGGCAUUGCAAGUAGGGUGUGAAAGCCCUCGGCUCAACCGAGGAAUUGCGCUCUAAACUGCAGUGCUUGAGGAACCUAGAGGUGAGCAGAACAGAUGGUGGAGCGGUGAAAUGCGUUGAUAUCAUCUGGAAUACCGGAGGCGAAGGCGGCUCACUGGGAGUUUUCUGACGCUGAGGCUCGAAAGCAUGGGGAGCAAACAGG
rnacentral:rRNA from 1 species